rnacentral:rRNA from 1 species
GCGACAGGCUUAACACAUGCAAGUCGAGGGGUAACAGGGUAGCAAUACCGCUGACGACCGGCGCACGGGUGAGUAACGCGUAUGCAACCUGCCUAUAACUGGGGAAUAGCUCCCUGAAAGGGGAAUUAACACCGCAUAACACUAUUGAUUCGCAUGGAUUAGUAGUUAAAUGUAGCGAUACAGGUUAUAGAUGGGCAUGCGUGACAUUAGCUAGUUGGUGAGGUAACGGCUCACCAAGGCUACGAUGUCUAGGGGCUCUGAGAGGAAGGUCCCCCACACUGGUACUGAGACACGGACCAGACUCCUACGGGAGGCAGCAGUGAGGAAUAUUGGUCAAUGAGCGCAAGCCUGAACCAGCCAUGUCGCGUGCAGGAAGAACCUGCCCUAUGGGUUGUAAACUGCUUUUAUAGUAGAAGAAACACAUCUACGUGUAGAUGUCUGCCAGUAUACUAUGAAUAAGCAUCGGCUAACUCCGUGCCAGCCGCCGC